GUUUUGCCCGGCACAGGUUCUAGUCAUCUUCCUCUCCUCAUUCGCGGUGCUGCACAGUGCUCCCAAACGGUGUAUUUUCGGGGAAAGGCCCCUCUGUGCCUUCGGCGGACUGCCACAAUGCUAAUAUGGACUCCAGUAAGAGAUGUACAUUCAGCCAUGGAUCAGCCUGCUUCCACUAAGAAGGGAAUAACCCAGGAUGGCAGAUCCGAUACCAGCAGACAGCAACUAAGGUGACUCUUCGGUGUUAACAGCUCUCAGGCAUCCUUCUCACAGUCCUCUUCAGGAGGUUAUUGUAGGGUAAAAGGAACAACUGGAUCAGGAAACCAACCAAUCACUGAGCACCCUGACUCUGAGUCCAGAGCCAGUGAAAGAAACAUACCCCGGAUCUGAGACCUGGGCCAGGGAGAGAAACAUCUUUAUCCCUGAACCCAGUACUAAAAAAAUAUACCCUGACUCUGAAACUAGUGUCAAAGAAACACACUUUGUCCCUAGAAUCAGAGCCAGUGAAAGAAAUAUACCCUGGUUAUAAGAUUAGAGUAAAAAAGCUAAAAAGGACCAGUGAAAGAAACAAUUUGGUCAUAAAGUCAGAGCCAUCUCUGCCCUUGAACAAUCCCUGAGCAGGAAAAAAUUACCCAAUCCCCCCUUUCCUUGGAAAAACUCCGCCCCUAAGAAGCCCUAUAUAAGACUCAGGGCCCCUUCAGUUAAAGGCGGCCAUUAAUCCCUCCCUGGCAGGGGCAGCUGCUCUCCUGGACUCCUCCUUCUCAAAUAAAUCUCUUUCUCGGGAGUCUUGGGUGACGACCUUCAUUCUCUGGUGCAGACUAGAAGAACCUGGCUGGGACAUCACUUAGGGGACUGAGCUGAACAACCUUGCUGAGAUGCUCCCUA